UGCUGACUAUAAAUUGUCGGUUGAAGCUUCAUUCACCAAGCCUCCUACCACAUCCACUGACCGCGGGGAUGUAUGUAUUUAUUUAUUUAUUUAUUUAUUUUUAACAGUACCUUUUCUGUUGUGAAUACAUCUACACUGCAAGCCCAGGAGAGUGUGGUGGAUAAGCAGGCAAAUCUAACCAGCCAGAAGUUUUACGGACCUGCCUGUAUCCAGAUCGACAUCAGCUGGUACUGUUCCAAGAAAGGAAGAUGGUUCCCUCUGUGUCUGGCACCAACUGGUAUUUUGAAAACUCCAGCUCUGAACUGCAUACAGAAAUCAUUACCAUCUAAAAUACCAUCUAAAAUACAGUUAUUGAAAGAACUUAAGAAGAAGGUUCUGACCAGACCACAGCAGAAGACCUUUGUCAUUUCCUUUCGCAAGUUGCACUCCAUCCUCUGCAGAUAUAACGCUGUUUCUGAUUACAUCCCAUGACGAAUACCGUGGAAGUGACAUCAGGUCCUGGUUGCUCCCAGGAGGCCCCUGGUGAAAGGAUGCUGGAAGAUGGACCACCAAGUCACAUCUCCUCUUUCACAAACAUGUGGAUGCAAUUUGCUUAAUCCCUGCAACUCGGACGGCAAACAGGGGCCGUGAGCAGUGAGGAGACCUCAUCGACUUCCAGAACACGGCCUUUCCCGAAACACAGGCCCUCAGCCCUCAGAAGAGCUAAACAUUUUGCUUUUCCUCCGUUUUGAGCACAGGGGCCUGUGGAUUGUCCGUGGCUUGGCCCAAAAUAAAA